rnacentral:rRNA from 1 species
AUGGAUGCAACAUUUGAUGUGGACACGGGCUCAGGGAGCACGGGUGCUAUUAUACGUGAUAGAACUCGUAGCUGGAGCAUCCUUAGAAUCGAUACACCGUCAACCGCUGAAGCGUGUGCACUUCGUGAUGGCCUGAUUAUUGCAGGAAACGUCGGAUGCAAUAAGAUCCUGGUCGAAUGUGAUUGCAUGGAAGUGGUGGAAGUCAUGUAG